rnacentral:rRNA from 1 species
AACGAACGCUGGCGGCAUGCCUAACACAUGCAAGUCGAACGAGACCUUCGGGUCUUGUGGCUCACGGGUGCGUAACGCGAGGGAACAUUCACUCAUGUUCGGAAUAACUCCCCGAAAGGGGUGCUAAUACCGGAUAAUGUCUUCUGACCAAUGAUUUAUCGCCUUUGGAUGGGCCCGCGUUGGAUUAGCUAGUUGGUAAGGUAAAAGCCUACCAAGGCGGAGAUCCAUAGCUGGUCUGGGAGGAUGACCAGCCACACUGGGACUGAGACACGGCCCAGACUCCUACGGGAGGGAGCAGUGGGGAAUAUUGGACGAUGGGCGAAAGCCUGAUCCAGCAAUGCCGCGUGAGUGAUGAAGGCCUUAGGGUUGUAAAGCUCUUUUAACCGGGAUGAUAAUGACAGUACCGGGAGAAUAAGCUCCGGCUAACUCCGUG